ensembl:lncRNA
GCCAAAAACCAGAAACAACACAGAUUUCUAUCCACACACAAAUGGAUAAACAAAUGUGGUGUAUCUAUACAAUGAAAUACCACUUAGCAAUAAAAAAGGAAUGAACAUAGAUACAUGUAACAAUACAAAUGAGUCACAAUAUAAUUAUGCUGAGUGAAAAAAAGCCAAACAAGAGUGCCUAUGGUAUGAUUCCAUUUAUAUAAAAUUGUAGAAAAUGUAAACUAAUUUAUAAUGACAGAAAACAGAUCAGUGGUUGCCUGUGGAUUGAGGAAGGGUGUGGGGAAGGAGGGUUGGAUGACAAAUGGGCAUAAGGGAAGUUUUCGGGGUGAUGGAUCUGUUCAUUAUCUUUAUUGUAGUGAUGGUUUUUAAGGUGCAUACAUAUGUCAAAACUCAUCAAAUUAUACACUUUAAACAAGUUCCAUUUACUGUAUGCUAACUACAUCUCAAUAAAGAUGUAAAAUAUAUUUUGGGGACAAUGGGAGAAAUUUGAAAAUGGACUGGAUAUGAUAUAUCAUAGAAUUUGAUUGAUAAUGAUAAUCCAGUUACAUGGGAGAAUGUCCUUAUUUUUAGGAGAUGGAUGUUCAAGUAUUUACGAGUGUAAUGUUAUAAUGCCUAUAACUUAACCAUCAAUUUUCAGGAAAAAUUUACAUAUACAUUGUUGAAUCUAGAUGAAAGUUAUAUGUGUUCAUUGUACUCUUCUUUCAAUAUUUCUACAUGAUUAAGGAUUUACAUAAUUAAAAUGUAGGGAAAACACAAUACUGUUAUAUUGUUGUAUUGCCCAUGUGCCUCUGGAGAGAGAGAUAUUAUCUUUAUUGUCCUGGAAUAUAAAGAAAUCUGAGCACAUUGGCUGUUAAAGUCUAGACAUUAAGAAACAGGAGAAAUUCAUGAAGAAUUAUCUCUGAACAGGAGGCCAGAGCCAAUCACACACAACCAAAAAGAAUAAUGAUCUGAAAUGAAUGUAGAGUGGUAUACAGUAGAUGGGGAGGAUGACAAAGACACAAUUAUAUGCAUAACUGAUGUCUCUGAAGAAGAGAGGAAAUGGAUCAGAAAAACAGUUAAGCAAAAUAAAACUUCUCUGAAAUAAAAAUCUUGAAUCAUGAUUAGAACAGCUCACUAUAACCCAGGUAAAAUUAAUUCACAAAAAUCAAGACCAAGGCAUAUGCUUCUAAAGAUCUUUAACUUCAAGCAGAAAAAAAGAAUGAUGUGGUAAAAAGUUACAAGAGAAAAAAAGAGCAGGGUUCAAUCAAGGCAGCGGAUUCACUGUGAGUAUUGUGGAACAAAGAAUUUUUUAUAUGAAUUAAACCAUGCACAAUUGUGGGAGUAGCUGGGGAAGUAAAGGUAUAAAAGGGGUGGGGGUGGAAGAUUAGAGAAGUCACUAAACCAGCCCUUUUGAAACAUUGGCAUGGGUGGCUAAGUCAGAGCGUACGGGAAAAUCUGAGAAGCCAGGCACUGCUGAAGUGCAACUGUGAAGUGGGUGCUGAUGGAGAAGCCUGUGAAAAGCUGUUGCCUUUGGGGCCUGCAGCCAAGCAUCUGGUGGUAGGCCUGGGGCCACUGUUGGUCAGCAGGGCUGGGAGAUACAAAGAAGGGCUGAAUAGAGUGGAAGAGAGUGAGGAAAAAUUAGAACCUUCGGAGUACCUCUGUGUCUGUCCUUCACUGUAUCGAUUCUCAAACUUCCAGAGUAAUGGUUGCUCCUUCACUUUGACAUCCCAAAUUUCAUGCAAUUUCUACUUCUGGCUAACUCUAACCUGGAGUCAAACGGGAUUCUUGAAAACACAUUUCUCGAUACAACUCAGACAACAAUAGAGCAAUAUAGCCCAAUGACCUAAUAUUUUUUCUAUUGGAAAAGUCUUAUGGUGACUAACAUUGCAUGAGUUCAGAAAUUCCUUCAGGUUUGUUGUUCUCUUUAGUUAAAUUUACUUCUAAAAUAACACUCACCAAAGUCAACAAUGACCUCCUUGUCACAAAAUCCAAAAACCAGUUUUCCAUCCUCAUGUGAACUGGCCUCCAGUCUAGAUAAUUCCUUCACUGAAACACUCCUUGGAAACACACUAUCUUCUGUGAGCCUCUUGCUCACCUGGUAUGUUUUUACCUCUCUGGCUGCUCCUUCCCAUUAUCUUCUACAGAUGACUCAUCCUUGGUCCAGUCCUCAAAUGUUGGCAGCAUAAGCCUUGGUCCUAGGCUUGCUUUUCCUGUUUACUCCAUACAUUUUCUUUAGGUAGUUGGAUGAGACCAAUACCACAGACAACUCUCAAAUCCUGCUUAAGUACAGAGAAUUGUAGGGGCACCUGCGCAGGCUCAGGAAGUGGGAUACAUCUAAAAUUCAUCAAGAACUUCUCUCCAUGCACAGUUCUAAGUGCUUUACACAGAUAAGUGCAUUAACUUCUUGUUAUGGGUAACUGUGUCCCUCCAAAAGGAUAUGUUGAAGUCCUAACCCCUAGUACCUCAGAAUGUGAAUUAUUUGGAAAUAGAAUCUUUAUAGAAGUAAUCAAGUUAAAAUGAGGCCAUUAGGGUGGGCCUAAUCCAAUAUGUCUGGUGUCCUUAUAAAAAGGGGGAAAUUGGACACAAAGACAGAUACGCAGAGGGAACACGAAGUGAAGACACACAGGGAGAAAAUGGCCAUGUGACUGGAGUAACGCAUCUACAAGCCAAAAAAAUGCCCGAGGCUACCAGAAACUAGGAGAGAGGCAUGGAACAGUUCCUUCCCUAGCACCUUCACAGGGAGCGUGGCCCUGCUGACACCUUGAUGUCAGAUUUCUGGCCUCCAGAACUGUGAGACAAUCAAUUUCUGUUGUUUUAAGCCACCCAGUUUGUGGCACUUUGUUAUAGCAGCCCUAGGAAGCUAAUACACUUCUCAUGUCAAAUCUAUGAGCUAGGUACUACUGUGAACAUCCUUUACAGCUGAAGAAAUCAGGACAGAGAAGUUAACUAACCUGCCCAAGGUCACGUAGCUAGUAACUGGUAGAGCCAGGAUUGAAA